GACGAACGCUGGCGGCGUGCUUAACACAUGCAAGUCGAACGGAAAGGCCCUGCUUUUGUGGGGUGCUCGAGUGGCGAACGGGUGAGUAACACGUGAGUAACCUGCCCUUGACUUUGGGAUAACUUCAGGAAACUGGGGCUAAUACCGGAUAGGAGCUCCUGCUGCAUGGUGGGGGUUGGAAAGUUUCGGCGGUUGGGGAUGGACUCGCGGCUUAUCAGCUUGUUGGUGGGGUAGUGGCUUACCAAGGCUUUGACGGGUAGCCGGCCUGAGAGGGUGACCGGCCACAUUGGGACUGGGAUACGGCCCAGACUCCUACGGGAGGCAGCAGUGGGGAAUAUUGCACAAUGGGCGGAAGCCUGAUGCAGCAACGCCGCGUGCGGGAUGACGGCCUUCGGGUUGUAAACCGCUUUCGCCUGUGACGAAGCGUGAGUGACGGUAAUGGGUAAAGAAGCACCGGCGAACUACGU
rnacentral:rRNA from 1 species